UACAGAGGUCUCAAACGUUGUUCGGAUUCAUUGGGCGUAAAGGGUGCGUAGGCGGCGCGGUAAGUCGGGUGUGAAAUCUCGGGGCUUAACUCCGAAACUGCAUUCGAUACUGCCGUGCUUGAGGACUGGAGAGGAGACUGGAAUUUACGGUGUAGCGGUGAAAUGCGUAGAUAUCGUAAGGAAGACCAGUGGCGAAGGCGGGUCUCUGGACAGUUCCUGACGCUGAGGCGCGAAGGUCAGGGGAGCAAACGGG
rnacentral:rRNA from 1 species